CCGCUGGCCGCACACUCACGGACAGCCUGUGCCGAGCUCCCUCCUGGGCGGUGAGGCGAAGAGCCAGCGCCGGCGGCAGGACGUCGCGGGCGGGGACAGGAGGCGAUGAGCUGCGGCUGCUGAGGCCUUGGCACGCUGGCUCCUCUCUGCUGGCCCAGAUACGACAAUCUGGAAACCUGGCUCUUAGUGCUCUCUAAAAAGUAGCUCAUAGUAGGCACUCCAGCUUUUGCCCACUUGACAAAAACUCAAGGGAGGAAUCUCCAGACCCUGAUCCAAUACCACUGGUCUCAAGACAUUCAUCUAAGACACCCAGGAUUCCUUUGCCUGAUGUCUCAGAACACUUUCCUGAUUACAGACUGAGAGCAAAAUUGCAAAUGAAAAGAAAAACCUUCUUAGACAUUUAUUUAAGGAAUCAAGAGUUUUCUAAAACUGUAACGUGUACUGUCAUUCUACUCACCAUACCACCUGAACACAGCUUUGCAUUUCAAAUUGGACUACUCUCUUAAAAUAUUGGAUUAUUAAAAACAACAACAGUGAACUCUA